UCCGAAUUGGUGUAGGGGUUAACAUUGCCGCCUCUCAUUCCAAUUACGUAAGCAUUCGCGAGCGUAAUCUGGGUCGCGGCAGCCCGGGGUUCGAUUCCCCGAUUCGGAA